CCUACGGGAGGCAGCAGUGGGGAAUAUUGGGCAAUGGGCGCAAGCCUGACCCAGCGACGCCGCGUGCGGGAUGAAGGCCUUCGGGUUGUAAACCGCUUUCAGCAGGGAAGAAGCGAAAGUGACGGUACCUGCAGAAGAAGCACCGGCUAACUAUGUGCCAGCAGCCGCGGUAAUACAUAGGGUGCAAGCGUUGUCCGGAAUUAUUGGGCGUAAAGAGCUCGUAGGUGGUUCGUUACGUCGGAUGUGAAAACCUGAGGCUCAACCUCAGGCCUGCAUUCGAUACGGGCGAACUGGAGUGUGGUAGGGGAGACUGGAAUUCCUGGUGUAGCGGUGGAAUGCGCAGAUAUCAGGAGGAACACCAAUGGCGAAGGCAGGUCUCUGGGCCACUACUGACACUGAGGAGCGAAAGCGUGGGGAGCAAACAGGAUUAGAUACCCUGGUAGUCCACGCUGUAAACGGUGGGCACUAGUUGUGGGAACCUUCCACGGUUUCUGCGACGUAGCAAACGCAUUAAGUGCCCCGCCUGGGGAGACGAGCGCAGAUAACUACAANAGAUUAGACGGCGUGAGACGUCGCCGACGGACGACGACGAGGGAGAGG
rnacentral:rRNA from 1 species